UGUUAAAUGCAUUGAGAUUGACAAAGAGGCAAAGCUAUCUUUUGAGAAGACAGUUGGCGGCUUACCAAAGUCUAUAGAUGGUACCAUCAGAUGGCAUCAUGCAGACACUUCAAUUGGACCUCUUUCUUGGCUAGUGGGAUCAGGUGUAGUUGUUGUUGACCCUCCUAGAAAGGGGCUGGAUCCAUCUCUGGUUGAUGCACUACGGAGCUAUAUCAACUGAAAGGUCUUUUUCAAAGGUCAAGAACGAAAACGGACCAUGGAUUUUACGUGCAAAGGAAGCCUCGGUUCAGAUUGAAAGCAAAACAUCUCCAGAAGAGGGUCAGUCACUGCCUAAAACUCUCAUCUAUAUUAUUUGUGGAUGAGAAAGCUUCAAAGAGGAUUGUAAGUCAUUGUUGUCCUGUAAGGAAUGGCAUUUGGAUAAAGCCCAUGGUUUUAAUUUUUUUCCUGGAACCCAGAGGAACCUCUUCUUCAGCACUUUAACAAGGUGUGCUCUUGGCCAAAUUCCAUGCAGUUCAGUUGCCCCUAUGGCCAGACCGACAGAUGGUUCCACCCCCUUCAUCUACAACUGGGAAACCAUUGCACGUGGUGUUUCUCAGGACAUCGACAAUGCGGGCUAGCUUUUCCACUCCACUAUGGGGUAACUACUUGUGGCUUGGCAUGAUGCAUGCUCCCCAACAAUUAAAUUUCUCAUCCAUGGCUCAGGAUUCGCAUCCAAGAAAGGCAGGCCUUUGAGAUGCAGUAUUAUCUCAUAAAUGCUUGGGUUGAUGCAAUCACCAACACUUUUGGCUAUUAGAAGCACAAUCAUUGUUAUGGGUAGUAAGAGGAGGUUGUUUGUGAGUUCAAGGAAUAUGACACAGAGGGAAACAGUCAUCCUCAUUGAACCAGCCAUCAGGGAGGCUGCUCCAAGAACAGCAUAAAGCCCUUGGUCAAUUUUUGUAUAGAAGCCCAUGGCAAUACCAAGAAUGCAUGGGCAUUCUUUCACCGAACUCCAGAGGAAUUGGGGCCAGAAAAGAAAUUGCCAUACAAACAUAAAGCCCUUGUAUGUUGAGCUAAGCUUAGAUACCACUUGUCAUGCAAGCUUUAACCCCAACCAAGGUUUGAAAUUUUGCCGACAUUUCAACAAAAUAUGAAUAUUAACGACAGUCGAAGCAAAAAAAUGGCAUGGAAAUGAGAAAUUUUGAAUUGCCAAUUUAUUGA